AGCAGCCGCGGUAAUUCCAGCUCCAAUAGCGUAUAUUAAAGUUGUUGCAGUUAAAAAGCUCGUAGUUGAAUUUCGGGGUUAGUAAGUUGGUCAUGCCUUUGGUAUGCACUGGCUUUACUGAUUCCCCCUUCUUGACGAACCGUGAUGUCAUUAAUUUGGUGUUGCGGGAAAUCAGGACUGUUACUUUGAAAAAAUUAGAGUGUUUAAAGCAGGCUAACGCUCGAAUACAUUAGCAUGGAAUAAUGAAAUAGGACGUUAAUCCUAUUUUGUUGGUUUCUAGGAUCGACGUAAUGAUUAAUAGGGAUAGUUGGGGGCAUUAGUAUUCAAUUGUCAGAGGUGAAAUUCUUGGAUUUAUUGAAGACUAACUACUGCGAAAGCAUUUGCCAAGGAUGUUUUCAUUAAUCAAGAACGAAAGUUAGGGGAUCGAAGACGAUCAGAUACCGUCGUAGUCUUAACCAUAAACUAUGCCGACUAGGGAUCGGAUGAUGUUAAUUUUAUAAUGACUCA
rnacentral:rRNA from 1 species